CGGCUCGCACGCAGACGGGACUGAGGUUUUUCUUCAUCUGCUCACGACAAGUUCAGCAGCUGCGACGGAAGGAAGCGAGGUUCAGACGCAUGGUUCAAAGAAACAAGCGCAUCAGAAGCUUCGCUCAGGAGGGAUGCUCACUGAGUGAGGACAGGAUUCCCGAGCCCGGAGAGAACUUGACGGGAAACACGAGUGAUCCUGGGAUUUUCCUGAAUGGGAAAGUCUCGCGCUCUCAUGAAAUCCUCAUAAAUCAUAGUUCAUCUCCUCCUGCCGCCUUUUUGCCUAACCAAAUGCCACUCUAAUGCUCACAGGUGGGGUUAAAAGCCCCCUGUUUGGCUUGAAAUCUCCGUGACGCCCCUGUGGAGGAUUUCUCUGGCGGUUCGUCCCCGAGGAGCGCAGCACAGCCGCUGAGAUGGACCGACACACUGCGCCAUGCGUCACCGCCAACCUGACAGGAUACUAACCGUCAUUUAUUUAAGACAACGUUCACAUUUUCAGAGUGAUUUAAGGUUUUUUUUUCUCCCCCGUAGCCAUUUUCAGUAAACUUUUGCUCCGCGGUCCUCCUCGUCUCUUUCGCCGUCACUCGGAUUUCCAUGAAGCGACCCAUCGGGUGAUUAUUGCUACUUUCUUUGGGGGAUCUUGCUGUGGGUGCAGCGGGACAUCAUGUGGACGCCGACAGAGGACGAGAAAAUUGGAGUGGAUCACACACUGGAACGGCGACACAGUCACACGUGCACUAAACUCUGUGUCGUGCACUCGAGGGGCGGUGUAUAAUGUGAGUAGCUGUGUGUUCCAGUCAAGCAGAGUUUAUCCAGGUCAGUAAGUUGAUCUGAUUAAGUCAGUUUAACAGUCGCCUGAGGGUCUCUCUCUCCCCCUGCUGCACGCCCCUUUUCCCUCGCUUCUCACCUCAAAGUCCUUUUCCCUCUUUUCCCCUUCAUUUUUGGAUUUCUCUCUGUUGCAGUCUGUCCCACUCUCUUUUUUCCCCUCUGUCAUUUAAAAUCUCUGCUCAUGUCUUUCUGUCUCUGUACGCCUGAGAUCUGGUGGUGUGCUGUUAAUUCCAGUUAUUUAAUUCCAGUAAUGGUGGAGCGGGAUGAAUGUCACGGUCAGAUUAGGGCUGAGAUUGGAGUUUGCUGCACAUUUAAGGCUCAGUCUGGUAUUGUAGCGUUGCUCCUUUAUUUCAGAAAUCCUUAACUUUGCUUACUUCAGGCCCACUCAUUUCUUUCCCUUCUUGAUGGUUUGUCUGCAUCUUUGUCAUUUUUUUCCUUUUUUCCCAUUGUUUUUAUUCCUUAAUUCCUCUGGAAUAACUGCUUUUUGGUGUCCCUCUCUCCCAUGCUAUUCUUGCAUCUUUUUCUUCAUAUUUCCUUGUUUUUCUAGCGUAUUGCUUCUUCUGCUUUUCCCCUUUUCUUUGGCAUCCAUCAUCAGUU
ensembl:lncRNA